rnacentral:lncRNA from 1 species
UGAGUCUAAACACAAGAAAAUCAAUGCAAAACAAUAGGCAUGGCAUAAUAUAACAAUUUUCAAAACAAUCACAAUCAUAUGGCAAAGCAGAGUUUGACAAUUACUUGUGCAUGCUUAUGAAUGUCGAUGCAAUUAAUGUUAUCAGAAAAAAAAAAAAAACUCUUACACAUUCUCUGCUACACAUCACAGUAAGAGUUCCCCAGAACUCAUCCAUCCCUACACACCAUAUUAUGAUUAAACCACCAGUAAUUUAC